rnacentral:lncRNA from 1 species
ACCAACUGGCCAGAGUUCACAUGCGCCAUCACAGCUAAAAGCACUCCCAGACAAGAAGCCUGGAACAAAGGGUGCUCUCAUGAAUCAGCAGCUGUAAGACUGCGUAGUAGCACAUCUGAGAACAUAUGGGAAAGGCUUUGCCAUGGCUAAGCGCAUCUUGUCACAACACAAAAAUGACAGCUUCAGUCUCACCAGUAUUUUAUAUUUCAGGUGAGAGCUGCUUGUCUUUCCAUGAAGUUCUGCAUAAUAAACCAGUGUGAGCAGAUGCUGCGAGAUGCCACCCAAGGCCCACCCCUCUGCCUUAAGCUUAUGCAAGCCUGGCACUGCCCCCACUGGCGUGCCUAGAGGGCAGCAAUGCCUAGGACAGUCGUGGGACACAGUGCACCCUGUGAAAGAAUCACAAAGUUGAAGUACCUUGGAGCUGGAACGGUUGCGCAAGUUCAGAAGGAAGAGGGAGUCUCCUUGAGCAAAAUACCCCAUGUCAUCGUCAGCUGUGUAGCCUAAGGCGUUGAUGUCUCCUUCUGCCAAAAAUGUCCACACAACUUGAUUUUGGUCCAUAUCUAAGAGCACUAUCUCAUUUUGAAGAAAAGACAUGAGUAAAGAGAUGACACAUCAAUCACGCAGGCUUCUGGUUCUUAUUUCCAUUGGGAGAUCCAAGUCAGGCCUUCAGCGGACUCAAGAGAUGGAACUGCAAAACAGAAGCAGAAACAGAGCCAAAAAGAACAUAAAGCUAACUUCUACCACUCACAAUCAGCAUGUGGACAGCUUAUCAAACUCUGGGCCUGAGGUGGACCCCCUGGUAGAUGCAUUCGAUCCAUUUCCACAGAACAGAACCACAAAACUGAUGGCCUCCAAGAGAGAGGACACCUGGACCCAAACACGACCUGCUUCACAGCAUGCCAAGGUUCUUCUAGUUUGCUGCUAUGCAACUCCAGGAGUCAGUAAUUGA